rnacentral:rRNA from 1 species
GCCUCCCUCAAGAUGAGUUUUCCCAUGAAGCCCGUUGAAGACUACGACGUUGAUAGGCGAGGUGUGGAAGCGCAGUAAUGUGUGAAGCUAACUCGUACUAAUUGGCUGAUUGUCUUGACCAUAUAACCUGAAUGGCUUUUAUG